AGCUCGGCCGAAGUGCAGCACCAGGCCUCCACUAACACCAUUACUCAGCUGCCUGCAACACCUCAGAGCCAGGGGCGCCCCGCACGCACAGCCAGCGCCGCUCUCCCCCGGUUCGCAGCUGUUUCCUCACGGCUUUUGUGCCCUCCCGUUCCCUUUGCCGCCCUCUCCACGCCGCAGGUCCGUGCCGGGGCCCACCCGCCUGUCGGCGGUGCCGCUGCCGGGGCACGGAGCAUCCCAGACCCGCCUCCCGGUGAGCCGAACGCGCGGGGAACCACGAACCCUCCUGCGCUCCGCGGUCCCCGGGGACGGCGCCGGGCCCCGCCGGGGUCCAGCCGCACGCUCGACUCCGGCAGGGCAGGCCCCCCCGAGCGGGCAGGACGGCGCCGGCCCCCGCAGCCCCCACCCGGCAGCGGAAGCCCCGCGGUCGCGGCCCGGCGCCGCCCCGCUCCCCGCAGGGUGCGCCGUGCCGGGAACUCGGCGGAAGGGCAUCAGCGAGCGGCGGGGGACGCGGGGCUGCCCCGGCAACGCGGGCACCGCUGUCUGCGGGGAUGGAGGCCCGCGGGGAGUCCCGUUGUCGGGCGGGAGCGAAGGGCGGCGAGGACAGCGGCCCGUGCGCGGCCCCGCGCGGUUCGGGCGCUCACCGGGAGGUGCGGGCUGCGCGUCCUGCGGCGGCCGCGCCGGGCUGCGCUGCGCUGCGCUGGGCUGGGCCGGCCGUGCUCCCGCCGGCCCCGCCGCGCCCCGCCCGCCCUGCGCGGUGCACCCAAUCAGCACCGCCGCCCGCGGCCCCGCGCCCGCCGUGGCCAAUGGGACAGCGCGGCCGGGGCCCGCCCCGCAGGGGGGCGGGACCGGCGGGGACCCUCAGGGGCGGCGGGGCCGGCGGGGCCGGGCCGCUGGUGCCCCCUCGGUGAGGGACUGCCCGCCCUCCGCUCCGCCUGCCCCGCGUACUCCUGCUUCCUCGGCCACCGCGGACAAGGGCAGCAGAGCAGAGCCUCUUGCCUAACCCCGAUGGGAAUCCGUGCCUGCGCUGUUACAGCUCCCCAGCGACCCGCUGUCCUUUACUUAUUGCUUCGUGUUCACCUGCUGCCACUUGGGACAUACUUCAUUUAG
rnacentral:lncRNA from 1 species